AUUGAACGCUGGCGGCAGGCCUAACACAUGCAAGUCGAGCGGAGCGGCGGACGUGUGAGUAAUGCCUAGGAAUCUGCCUGGUCGUGGGGGAUCACGUCCGGCAACGGGCGCUAAUACCGCAUACUAUCAGAUGAGCCUAGGUCGGAUUAGCUAGUUGGUGGGGUAAAGGCUUACCAAGGCGACGAUCCGUAACUGGUCUGAGAGGAUUAUCAGGCACACUGGAACUUAGACACGGUCCAGCCGCCUACGGGAGGUAGCGGGGGGGAAUAGUGGAAAAUGGGCGAAAGCCUGAUCCAGCCAUGCCGCGUGGGUGAAGAAGGUCUUCGGAUUGUAAAGCACUUUAAGUUGGGAGGCGUUACCAACAGAAGAAGCACCGGCUAACUACGUGCCAGCAGCCGCGGUAAUUC
rnacentral:rRNA from 1 species